rnacentral:rRNA from 1 species
AGUGAAUGCUAGUGGUAUGCUUAACACAUGCAAGUCGAACGGAACAAUUUUGUUAAGUGGCAUACGGGUGAGUAAAGUAAAGAAUUUAUGAUGUAGUACAGCAUAAGAUUUAGAAAUAUUUUGAUAAAUACUGUAUAAAUAAAUAAAAGAUUAUAUCGCUACAUUAAAAGCUUUAGUAGGAUUAGGUAGUUGGAGGUGUAAUGGACUAACAAGCCUAUGAUCCUUAGUUGGUCUUAGAGGAUGAUCAGCCACAUUGGGACUGAAACAAGGCCCAAACUUCCAUGGAGGGCAGCAGUGAGGAAUAUUGGACAAUGGGCGAAAGCUUGAUCUAGCAAUAUCACAUGAAAGAUGAAGGCUUACGUCGUAAAUUUAUUGCGUUAAGGAGGAUAAUGACGUUACUUAAAGAAGAAGUCCGGCUAACUUCGUGCCAGCAGCCGCGGUAAAGUCUGUACU